CACCCUGAAUCAUUAAGAUUCCUUCAAGGCCAGCAGCCUUGGGACUUCAGUUCACUAAAAACUCUUCAAGGCCAGCAGCCUUGGAACUUCUCUAGUUCCCUAGGAACUCUUCAAGCCCAAUAGGCUUGAAACUUCAUUUAGUCCCUUCGGACAAGGACCCCUCAGGCCCUGACUUCUUCUUGUUGUUGUAGUUGUUGGUGGUGGUGCUGAGCUGCUAAGAUGUCUUUAAGCAGCUUAAUCAUCUUUUGUACUUAGCAGCUUGGUGUGGUCCUCUUUGCAUUCUGCUUCGAGACUGGACCACAUCAUCUUUGGUGCAGCUGAUCUUCUUCUGUUCUGCUCAUCUUCAUGUAGUGUCAGCUGUACACCAUCACCAUUUCCUGAACCCUUCUUGACAUGUUGGCAGACAUGGUUC
rnacentral:lncRNA from 1 species